UGGGGAAUAUUGCACAAUGGGCGCAAGCCUGAUGCAGCCAUGCCGCGUGUAUGAAGAAGGCCUUCGGGUUGUAAAGUACUUUCAGCGGGGAGGAAGGCGAUAAGGUUAAUAACCUUGUCGAUUGACGUUACCCGCAGAAGAAGCACCGGCUAACUCCGUGCCAGCAGCCGCGGUAAUACGGAGGGUGCAAGCGUUAAUCGGAAUUACUGGGCGUAAAGCGCACGCAGGCGGUCUGUCAAGUCGGAUGUGAAAUCCCCGGGCUCAACCUGGGAACUGCAUUCGAAACUGGCAGGCUAGAGUCAUGUAGAGGGGGGUAGAAUUCCAGGUGUAGCGGUGAAAUGCGUAGAGAUCUGGAGGAAUACCGGUGGCGAAGGCGGCCCCCUGGACAAAGACUGACGCUCAGGUGCGAAAGCGUGGGGAGCAAACA
rnacentral:rRNA from 1 species